GGAAGCGUCGCAUAGUGGCUAUUGCAGCGGGUUGCUAACCCGCGCCCUUUUUUGGGCUCGUGGGUUCGAAUCCCACCGCUUCCGCCA
rnacentral:tRNA from 2 species